UACGGAGGGUGCAAGCGUUGUCCGGAAUUAUUGGGUUUAAAGGGUGCGUAGGCGGACUAAUAAGUCAGAGGUGAAAUCCUGCAGCUUAACUGUAGAACUGCCUUUGAUACUGUUAGUCUUGAGUAAAGUAUAGGUAGGCGGAAUUUAUGGUGUAGCGGUGAAAUGCAUAGAUACCAUAAAGAACACCGAUAGCGAAGGCAGCUUACUGGACUUUUACUGACGCUGAGGCACGAAAGCGUGGGUAGCGAACGGG
rnacentral:rRNA from 1 species